CCUCGCUUCCACACUGCAGCCUCUCCCCUGGCCCAGGCACUCACCCUCGCAUAUCUUCCUACCGCCUUCGCGUAUCGCUCCCUCUCUCACUCUCUGGUAGCCGCUCCUAUACAGCCGCCACCACCACCCUUACCUCCUCACUCUCUCUCGUGAACCAUGUCCGCUGGUGGCGCUGAGUUCAAGGCCGAGAUGCGUGCCGGCAAGCCGAAGUUCGGCAUCUUCCUGAACUCCGCCAGCCCGCUGCUGGCGGGCCAGUUCAGCCACUCCGGCUACGACUGGCUGCUGAUCGACGCUCAGCACUCGCCGGUGGACCCGCUGACGAUGGCGCACAUGAUCGCUGCCAUCCGCACGGGUCACUCCAAGGUCAUGGUGCGCGUGGCAAGCACACAGGACCGCGCUGGCAUCCAGUGCGCUCUGGACAACGGCGCCGAUGGCGUGCUGAUCCCGUAUGUGAACAAUGCGCAGGAGCUGCAGGAGGCCGUGUCCUGCUGCUAUUACCCGACGACUGGCACGCGCUCCGUGUACCAGCCGCAGCAGUGCAUGAACGCGAAGGGCCUACUCGGCUACGUGCCGGAGUCGAAUAAGAACGUGGUGGUCGCCUUCCAAGUGGAGACGGCGGCGUGCAUUGAGAACCUGGAGGAAAUCAUGGCCGUGAAGGGCAUCGACAUCGCCUUCCUUGGCCAGAACGACCUCUGCAUGUCCAUGGGCCUGUACGACGGCCGCUACGUGUUCCCGCAGAUGUACUUCUCGCCGGAGCUGCAGGCUGCCACGGACAAGCUCAUCACGACGGCCAAGAAGCACGACGUCAUUCUGGGCCUGUUUCUGUUCGGCACGGACCGCGUAGGUGAGUUCCUGGAGAAGGGCUUCACCUUCAUCAGCAUCGGCAGCGAGCUGCACCACGCCAUGGUGCAGGCCGGCACCUGGGUGAAGGCGCUGAAGAAUAUAUCGGAGGAAAAAGGCAAGUCGUGGACGAACCAGCCCAGCGCCCUCGUGUAAGCGGGAGCAACAGCGGCCGCCGGUCGAGAUAGUAGAGGGGGAGGGGCGCGAGAGUGCGCUGGCACAGACACACACCGGCGCACAUCGGCGCUGCUGCCGAGCCACCCACACCCCUCCCCCGUCUCCUCUGUCUCUCUCUUCUCUUCCUCGACUUUGUUCUCCGUUCGUUUAUGAUUCUUUUGUUUUCUAUUCUCUGGCAGCUGCGGUCGGCCCCGGUGGCGCUGUUGACAACGGGCGCACGCACCGUAACGUGGUACACGACGCACAGGAGCUCUAAGAGCAAGGGGGCGGGUAAGCGGGCUGUCGGUCCUCCUGCGCGGAGGCCCGAUGUUGGCGCAGCAGCGGCCGCGGUGAAGGAGAGGGAGUGUUGACAUCCCUUGUUGUGCGCGUGUGGUGAGUGGGGAGUGGGCGGAUGUGCGAAGAGAUAGUGAGCAGCACGCGUAAAUGUGUGCGCUCCCACACGCUCCCUACACACACACACACAUACGCAGACACACCGCGUCCCUGCUACCUGCGCGGGGUUCUUCUACUUUUUCCUACGCGCUAGCCUCGCUGUCUACCCGCUACUUUCUCCUCCUGCUGUGAGCACGCCCCUUUAAACCUACUACCACGCUCACUCGCACACGUACCCAAUCACACGCACGCACAGGCGCAGGCCCGCACGCUCAUCGCCUGCUCGCUUGUGGCUGUCCAGCCAUCCUCCGACCACGUGUGCACACACUCGAACAGCUCAGUGACCGCCGUCUUGCGGACGUCGAUAACGCCUCUCUUUUUCUCCCUUGAACAACAGCCACAGCAGUCGCCUGCUCCUUGCACGUGUGUGGCAUCGAUACCGUGGGAGGACGAAGAGCUGGCCGGUGAAGUGCCUGUGUGCGUGUGUGCUUGUCCGAACCCCCUUCCCCGUGUUGCCCUUUUACAACGCUCCGAAGAGGUAUGGACAGGCACGGUAUGUGUAACGCAGACGUGUGCGUGUGUGUACGUGUAUGUAUAUGUGUUACUGGUAAGGCACAACUCGACGACGUUGGAGCUACUGGAGGCUCAUGCUUUCCACGCAGGGACGGUGAUGCGUCGCUGCAGUGCCGUGCGAUGAGUUGACGGCACGCCUGCCGCUGGUGUCGCGGUGGCGCGGAUGGAACAGGUUGUGGAGUAGCGCAUGCGCUGCGGUUCGCCGCUGCACCAAGUGCUGCGUGUGUAGUAGUCGUGAGCGAACGAGGGAGAGGGAGUGCACAGCUGUUGCAGUUGUGCAGUGGGGUGAGGUGGUCUGUGCUUGCUAUGAAUGGUGCGUGCUUGCGCGUACCUCCACCUCUCCCACCCCGCGUAUCCCUCGUUUCUUACGUGGUCUGUGACACACAAACACGUGUUCGAGACACUCACAUGCACCACAUGGUCGGCGUGCACCUCUUUCUGUGAAAGAGGGUCGCUUGACUUUUCGUACUCGCUACCAUCAGUGGCCCCCUUGCAUGCCUGCGCACGUACGUACUCCUUCUCUAUCUCCCUCCAACGCUCUCCAACUCCCCACACGGGUAAG
rnacentral:misc_RNA from 1 species